rnacentral:rRNA from 1 species
UACGUAGGGCGCAAGCGUUGUCCGGAAUUAUUGGGCGUAAAGAGCUCGUAGGCGGUCUGUCGCGUCCGUUGUGAAAACUCGAGGCUCAACCUCGGGCUUGCAGUGGAUACGGGCAGACUAGAGUGCGGUAGGGGAGAUUGGAAUUCCUGGUGUAGCGGUGGAAUGCGCAGAUAUCAGGAGGAACACCGAUGGCGAAGGCAGAUCUCUGGGCCGUAACUGACGCUGAGGAGCGAAAGCGUGGGGAGCGAACAGG